ACGCUCUUCCGAUUUGGGAAGCCUGCCUCAAGAUAAGAUCUCCCUGAUCAGAUUCGUCUGGUCCUGAAGACCCCUGGAAGAUUACCAGGUUGAUAGGUCACCGGUGUAAGGCUUGUAAGAGUCGUCAGCCAAGUGAUACUAAUCGGUCGUGAGGCUUGACCAU
rnacentral:rRNA from 1 species